rnacentral:rRNA from 1 species
UACGUAGGGUGCAAGCGUUGUCCGGAAUUAUUGGGCGUAAAGAGCUUGUAGGCGGUUUGUCGCGUCUGCUGUGAAAUUUCGGGGCUCAACCCCGAACUUGCAGUGGGUACGGGCAGACUAGAGUGUGGUAGGGGAGACUGGAAUUCCUGGUGUAGCGGUGAAAUGCGCAGAUAUCAGGAGGAACACCGAUGGCGAAGGCAGGUCUCUGGGCCACUACUGACGCUGAGGAGCGAAAGCGUGGGGAGCGAACAGG